rnacentral:rRNA from 1 species
GACGAACCGUGCGAACGUUGUUCGGAUUCACUGGGCUUAAAGGGCGCGUAGGCGGUCGGCCAAGUCUGGGGUGAAAUCUUUCGGCUCAACCGGAAAAGUGCCCCCGAUACUGGCCGUCUAGAGGGAGGUAGGGGCAUGUGGAACUUCCGGUGGAGCGGCGAAAUGCGUAGAUAUCGGAAGGAACGCCGGUGGCGAAAGCGACGUGCUGGACCUCAUCUGACGCUGAGGCGCGAAAGCCAGGGGAGCAAACAGG